AUGUGCAUUGUCUUGGGGCCACUGUUGCGGAAAGGAGUUUUGGUUUUUAUCGACGACAUAUUGGUUUAUAGCAGCACUCUGGAGAAGCAUAUCUUGUUGUUGCGUUCGGUAUUUCAAUUACUUGACAAGUACUCUCUGAAAGUCAAGUACAGCAAGUGUGCCUUUGCUCAACCUCAGCUCAAGUACCUUGGUCAUGUAAUUAGCAAGGAAGGAGUGCACACAGAUCUAGCUACAGUCGAGAAAGUUCAUGAUUGGCCACAACCAUAA
rnacentral:rRNA from 1 species